AUGUACCAGAAUAACCUUUUCCAAGCCGUGUCAAACCUGUCCUCGGGACCUCCAGACAUGUCAAACUCUCAUCAGGACCCCAGACGUGUCAAACCUGUCCUCGAUGACCCCAGACGUGUCAAACCUGUCCUCGAUGACCCCAGACGUGUCAAACCUGUCCUCGGUGACCCCAGACAUGUCAAACCUGUCCUCGAUGACCCCAGACGUGUCAAACCUGUCCUCGAUGACCCCAGACGUGUCAAACCUGUCCUCGAUGACCCCAGACGUGUCAAACCUCUCAUCAGGACCCCCAGACAUCUCAAACCUCUCUUCAGGACCCCCAGACAUCUCAAAUCUCUCUUCAGGAACCCCAGACAUCUCAAACCUCUCUUCAGGACCCCCAGACAUCUCAAACCUCUCUUCAGGACCCCCAGACAUCUCAAACCUCUCUUCAGGAUCCCCAGACAUCUCAAACCUCUCUUCAGGACCCCCAGACAUCUCAAACCUCUCUUCAGGAUCCCCAGACAUGUCAAACCUCUCUUCAGGACCCCAGACAUGUCAACCCUCUCUUCAGGACCCCCAGACAUGUCAAACCUCUCUUCAGGACCCCAGACAUGUCAAACCUCUCUUCAGGAUCCCCAGACAUGUCAAACCUCUCUUCAGGACCCCCAGACAUCUCAAACCUCUCUUCAGGACCCCCAGACAUGUCAAACUCUCUUCAGGACCCCGGACAUGUCAAACUCUCUUCAGGACCCCCAGACAUGUCAAACCUCUCUUCAGGACCCCAGACAUGUCAACCCUCUCUUCAGGACCCCCAGACAUGUCAAACCUCUCUUCAGGACCCCCAGACAUCUCAAACCUCUCUUCAGGAUCCCCAGACAUGUCAAACCUCUCUUCAGGACCCCAGACAUGUCAACCCUCUCUUCAGGACCCCCAGACAUGUCAAACCUCUCUUCAGGACCCCAGACAUGUCAAACCUCUCUUCAGGACCCCAGACAUGUCAAACCUCUCUUCAGGACCCCCAGACAUCUCAAACCUCUCUUCAGGACCCCAGACAUGUCAAACCUCUCUUCAGGACCCCCAGACAUCUCAAACCUCUCUUCAGGACCCCCAGACAUGUCAAACCUCUCUUCAGGACCCCAGACAUGUCAAACCUCUCUUCAGGACCCCAGACAUGUCAACCCUCUCUUCAGGACCCCCAGACAUGUCAAACCUCUCUUCAGGACCCCAGACAUGUCAAACCUCUCUUCAGGACCCCCAGACAUGUCAAACCUCUCUUCAGGACCCCAGACAUGUCAAACCUCUCUUCAGGACCCCAGACAUGUCAAACCUCUCUUCAGGACCCCAGACAUGUCAAACCUCUCUUCAGGACCCCCAGACAUGUCAAACCUCUCUUCAGGACCCCAGACAUGUCAAACCUCUCUUCAGGACCCCAGACAUGUCAAACCUCUCUUCAGGACCCCAGACAUGUCAAACCUCUCUUCAGGACCCCAGACAUGUCAACCCUCUCUUCAGGACCCCCAGACAUCUCAAACCUCUCUUCAGGACCCCCAGACAUGUCAACCCUCUCUUCAGGACCCCCAGACAUGUCAAACCUCUCUUCUGGGACCCCCAGAUGUUUCAAACCUGUCCUCAGUUGUAGCCCUGAGCUAUGCAUAUCCAUAUGAAUGUUUGAAAAACCCUGUCUCAGCGGACUCUCCUGGAUAA
rnacentral:lncRNA from 8 species